ACGAGGCCACUGAGUCACCAGCACGAAGCACUGACCAGCUCAUGCACAUCACUGGGGAGGACACAAAAUCCCCUCCAAAGAAGAGAACAGAAGAGACAUCUUUCUUCAGCUGUGAGCAGAGGAAAUGUGGGUUAGGGGUACAUCUUUGCCAGUGCUCCCUCCCCAAGCCAGGGGAUUCCUGCAGCUGCACCUGCAGCACUCUGAGGUGGUGAUCCUUGUCCUGGAGCAGAGCUUCAGCUCUAGGAACCCAUGAAGGACUCCCACAUAACAGCUUAGGAGCUGCUGUUCAUGGUGUGGGACAUGGGUGCAGAGGAAGGAGUCCUGGCGUCUGACCCGGAACAUACACUCCCAUGGUGUGGCUUUGCUAAUCUGGGCUGCUUUCUGCCCAAGAGCAACAGUUACCAAAAUAUUGUUCUUAUCAUCAUCACAGUCAAGUAUUCCCUUUUAACUCCUAAGGCUGAAAUAACCUUGAUGCUAACUCAGACCUGCCGGGUACCACACACUGUUCAGGCUCUGUGGGAACACAUCUACAGCUGCUGCACUGAGCUCCAAUUGUUUUCUCUUUGGAUUAUGCUGUCUCUGGACUUUUUCAUCUUUCUUACCAAUAUAAGGUCAUAUUUCAUUCAAAUAAAACUUGAUUGGAGUGUGAGAAAUCACUUUUAUUUCUAUCUUCGGAAAG